rnacentral:ncRNA from 2 species
CAUCGAAGUAGAGGUCGCAGCUUUUAUGAGUACGGUAAACGAGACGCAGAGCACGUCAAAGACUUUGCCGGAAAGGAAAAGCUGCCGAAGCCUGAACAUUGCUCUGAAUGUUUGGGCUGGGGUUGUCGCCGAAUAGGGGCAACACUGUCAUGCGCGCACGAAUGUGCACGCAUGGAGCGCUAUCUUCGUG